AUGGCUCAGUGGUUAAGAGCCCUGACUGCUCUUCCAGAGGUCCUGAGUUCAAUUCCCAGCAACCACAUGGUGGCUCACAACCAUCUAUAAAGAGAUCGGAUGCCCUCUUCUGGUGUAUCUGAAGACAGCUACAGUGUACUUACAUAUAAUAAAUGAAUAAAUCUUUUAAAAAAAGAGAGCUUAAAGAAGGCAGCAAGGGUGAGUGUACAGCAGAGUUUAGAGAGAAGAAGGGAAAUAAUGUAAUUAUAUUACAAUCUCCAAAAAAUGAAAUAAAAUAAUUUCAAAAGGAUGUCAUGUGAUUGACAUUCUGAAUAACUUGGAAUAGUCUUACAAGGUUACACAUUGCUUUAUUGUAAAGUUGUUUAUUAUUAUUACUAUUAUUAUUAUUACCAAUAAUAUUAUCUCCCUUUCUAAAGGAUCCCAUGUUAUCUCAGAUUUCUUUACUCCGCACUGUAUUAGCAUCAUCUUGUGGGAAGUGAAUAAAUAUUUCCUGGUCUUUAAAUUUCUGCCGGCCAACACUUAAAGGUCCAGGAUCAGAAGGAGAAAACAGUCUUGCAGAAGACUCAUAAAUCUAAUUAAUUCAGGGGCAUUUUCUCCUUCUCACCCUUCCCCAUAGAACUCGUAUCAUUGCCAGGCCUUUAAAAUGUUUUUUUUUCUCCCUAGCUGUUAGGAGCAUUUUAGUUCUUGCACAAAGAGACAAAUCUUGGCGGCUGGUCUUUCUGGCAUCUGCUAAUAUUUCAUAGACCUAGACUGAACUUUCAGUCUGUUCCUGGAACUUCAGGGGUUGACAAUAGGAAUGGCAUCUGUCUAUUUCUCUUUUGCACCCUUUGCCUUUAGUCCCUUUCUUUCACAAUCCACUUGAAAAGUACAGUCAGAGGCAGCUUAGGGAUGGGGAGAAGAAAACCUAUAUGCCCCUGCUCAGCUGAGUCUGUUUUCACCGUAUCCAGGAAAGGGUAAAGCAAACACAUUAGAACAGGUAGUGACAAAGUGCACCUGACCGGCCUGCUAUGAGAGAGCCUCGAUCUUAUAAUGUGGUCUCAGAAACCACUUUCCUUGCACCAGUUACACUUGCAGAAGCAGCCAUGAAGGUUCACAGGAGAGGGAAUGGCUUAGCAAUGCACAGCAGAGGCAGGAAGUGCCUUCCAGAGAGCAGGGAGUUCACACUAAUAAAGCUGCUCAACUCAAAAUUCACCUUGGUGCUCUAGGCCUUUACUUUAAACAGUGCUUUCACCUCUCUCAAGCCUGGGGGAAAUGUUUUUAGGUCCUCUCUCCUGCCCCAGUGACUCUCCUCUCGGGGAGAGGCAUUGCUGCCUAGCUGCUGGGUAACUGCUCUGGGCUUUUGUUCCAAAGUUCAAUGUACCUGAACCAGAGUUUAGCCCCACGUAAAGGUCUCAGGGCCACAGGUCUUUGCAUGGCUGUGAAUCUGAGUAACAGUAACUUCCCUACAGGCAGGAUGCUCAGAGACCAGGUCAUUGCUGCUGAUCUAAACUAUAGUCCUCACUCAAAUUCCACUGGUAAUAAAAAUGUCAGGAGGGUAGCUGGAAGAUCACAGAAGGAUACACUCUAACAGUUCUUCUGACACAUUUUCUUGUCUUGUGUAGUUUUUAUUGUGACACAACCUAGUCACCUGGGAAGAGUGAGUAUCAAUUGAAGAGCUGCCUAGAUCAGAUUGGCCUACACCCCUGAGAGGUGGACGUCUGCUAAAGUAAGGCUUGCCCACUGUGGAUGGCACUGUCCUAGACAGAGCUGCAUAUGAAAGUAGGGCACGAGCCAGAAAACCAGUUAGUAAGCGACAGCCCUCUACGGUUUCCUCUUUCAGUUCCUGCCCCGGGUUCUGCCCUGGCUUCCCUUGGGAACAGAAUGUGACCUAAGUCUAUGUUGAAAUACACCCUGCCCUUCCAAAGCUGUUUUUAGUCACUAUUUAUCACAGCCACAAAAAGCAAUCUAGAAUAGUAUGUCAGUUCUGUUUUCAACUUGGAAGGUAAUUCUCAGCACAUCCACAACCUAGAUCAUCUUGAAUUUUCCAGAGGGCCACGCUGAGUGUUUUCUCUAAGAUGGGUAACUUAUCCUGCUGUGGGGUCUCUGACAUCUUGUGUUCUAGCAAAACUUUUCUAUUAGUUAUGUUGACUGUUACUAAGACAAAAUAUUGACAAAAGUAAUACAAGGCUGCAGGGCUGUGUUUUAGUUCAAAGUCUGAGGGUAGGACCCACUGUGGUUUGGAAGGCACAGGGGCAGGAGCCUGAGAGGCAGCUGCUAACGUUGUGCCCAAUCAGGAAGCAGAGAGAGGCGAAGCUGCUCCUUCCUUUUUAUCCAGUCUAGGACUUCAGCAGCUGGAGGUGCUUCCUAGAGUUGUAAGCUUUUCCAAUCUCAAUUAGCCCAAUGUAGAAAGUCCCUCAUGGCCAUGCCCAGAGGUUUGUUUUUGUGGUGACUCUAAAUUCCAUCAAGUUCCCAAACUAACCUUGACAACAUUCAGGUUUGGAAUAGAUGACGUACACACUCAGGAGUGGAAAUGCAGAGCCAACUGAGUAUUAGGAGAGCUGUCAUCAUGAGUAUUUUAAAAUCCUACUUUUUCAUGGCCUUUCAAGAUCAUUUUGCCACUAAACAGGAAACAAGCAAAUGACAACGGAAGUUCCGUAAUAUAUCGAGGGUCCACAUAAACUCGAGGAAAGCGUUGAAAACUUGUUUUCAUGAGCAGGUAGAUUUAAACAUGAUACAAUAAAGACAUGAUCACGUCAUAACAUACCUCACUAAUAUGGACCGUUUUCGUGUAUUGGUUUGAAAUAAAUUUUAGUCAUUGUGGCUGGCUUCUGGGAUAUAAAGGCAAUGCCAAUGUUAGGAGUUAUAGGCCGGACAAUUUUUUAUAAGCUGUUUUGAGUUGUGGAAUCUUAUUUCUAGAUAUCCGCAUUUCUUUCACUAGGAAUCAAAGUCUAGUUGCUAGGCUUGCUCAUUACGAUUCUGGUCUUUGCUUUUGUCCCUUUAAGGAGAGAAGGGGAGACUGCACACGUUAAAGAAGACGGGAAGACCUCACUCUGAAUGUAUGUGGCAGUGUACCAUGGGCCCGAGUCCUGAACUGAGCAAAAGAAAAAAGUGAGCUAAGGUAAGGUCUAGGAGUCAUCUGACAGUAAGCAUAAUGUAACCAGGUGCUCAUGUUCCUGCCACCAUAAUGAUGAAACAUGUCCUCAAACUGUGACCCAAACUAAGGCCUUCAAUUUGGGCCUUGCCUGGAAUUUAAUCACAGCAAAGAAGAAAAUAACUAAUACGGUGACUGAGUAAUCAGAAAAGCACUCAUAGAUUGCUCAAACUUAAUCUUGUCAACAGCUAAAAUGUUUACGUUAUAAACAACUGGCCAUUUAUAGAACACCCAUAUAGAAUCAGGGAUGCAAAAAUUUAAAAAAUCAGACUAAAAAAUUUGUAGGUGUGUGUGUGUGUGUGUCUGUUCAUAAAAUGUGUUUGCUUCACAUGCUUCUCUUCUGAUUUUGUUACAUUUAACUCUGACAUAUAACUUGAUUGGUUAAAUAAAUUAACACUUCACCAGGGUUUAGGACAAUAGAUCUGUUUUCAUACACUUAAAUAUGUUAAUCAAAUACUUUAUGUUAAAUGUAUGGAGAAAUGUUUGUUAGUUUUUUCAGUCGAAGAGUAGAUGUUUUCAUUGCAGAGGGGGAUUCAGCACAUAAAGGAUCUCUACCCUGGCUGACUGCUGGGCAUGGAAAGAACUUGUACUGGUUAUACCAACAUGGAAUUCUUCUGUUUCUAGUACAAACAAAGCACUGGCUACAGCCACCAAGUAUAUCAAUCAAGGAGGCAAAUCCUACAGAGCUCAGCCCCCAGGAAGGGUAGGCAAAAUGAGAAGUCACCUCAAAGUAACACCCAGGAAAUUGGUUUACCUUUCUAAGAAGUACAGAAAAGUGGUCAUCUCGGAGAAAUAUUUAAAGAAGACUAAAUGUUAAAGUUUAGAUUUAGGGCUGGGGUUAUAUAAAAUUGUGAUAAACACUUGUCUACCAUGCCCAAGGUCCCAGUUUCAAUUUGCAGAGAAUUGAAGUACUAAAGAGAGAAGUUUAAAUCCCAUGCAAUAAAUAAUAGAUGGAAAUGGUACAAGCCUACACAAGAAACUCCAAGACAGGGGUACAACAGAGAAACAUCUUAGAAGAGAAAACAAUAUCUCAUUCACUCAACAAUAUAUGAAGGUGCAGUUCUGUACUAGGAAACUCAAAGUCCCUAUAUAAUUUGGUAGAUCAAAAUUCUGUUUCAAAAAAACUUUAGAAAACUGAAUGGCUUCCCCCUAGAAAUUUUUCAGAAGCCUUGGUGAAGGGAAGUCAUGGUACAGAAAAAUGACAUCACAAUAUGGUUACAUUUGCCCAAAGGACUUCUGUCGUUACAGGUCCAAUAUGAUCCAGACUGGACAUACUCUCCAGAGCUAGACUCUCUGGAGAGCUUGAUCAUUAUGACUUAGAAGUAGCCUGGUGCUACAGACACCACGGCAAGUAGGAGACAACAGAAGCAUGAGAAGGGCCUUACUGAACAGAAUAUAUAAUUCCAUUCAACAGCUAAAGCUCAUUAACUGUGCUGGCAUGAAUGAUUCUUUACAACUACAAAAAGAAAGGAAAACAGAUAGCAGCCUAUUUACAGAUGCAGCAAGAGUCCAGUUGCUGUCCCUAUUUGAAGCUUUGAAGGGACACAAAACAAGCCUGCAUAAUAAGUUUAACCUAUAAUUCAACUCUCUUUCAAAGUGUAGCUUGUCAUUAAGUUUGGACUUUUUUUGCACUUCCAAACUCCAAAUAUUCUAUUUAUGUUCCCACCAUACUACUUCCAGACACCCUCUUACCUGUAGCAGACCAGCCAACCCAGUUGAUCUCUGAGGGCUUGCACCCACCAUUUCUCUCCAUAUCUUCCUUGUUUUUCAUUUUCUCUACCUAUGGAAAGUAUACUUCAUAUGCCUUCUACAGCCCUUUCAACUCAAACUGGCUGGUCUUUAUCAUGUGAGCCUACGUAAUUUAUAUUCUUAGAUUCCCUCCCACUUAGACGCUCUAUGCAACCCAACCUGCCUUAGUUUCCUUAUUUUUCACAGUGCCAUUGUGACAGUUCAGCUGUGGCAGAUACACCCUGAAAAGUGCUUGGCACAUGGCAUCUACAAUUUUAGCAAUGGUACCAAUACUUAAAGCACUAAGCAAUGACAUAUUUUUCUCAUAAUCAUUUAAAUGCUACCACAGGGAAAAUUGCUGAAAGGCAAGCAGUGGCACCCAGGGGAAGGAAAGGUGUACAUAAACACCAUUCCUUCCUUUCUUUCUCUCCUUUCUUUCCUGUCCACUCUCCUGCCCGAACAAUCAGAAGAAUGUGUCCAGUAAAUGAUCAUUGAAGGCUCAUGAACACGGUCCUUAUCCCUUCUGAACAGACUUCCUCAAGGAUGCUCUCCUAUGUUUAAAUCAUAUGGUGUGACCAAUUCUUGGUUUUUAUUUCCUCUUCAUUAUCUAAAACUCUCCUUUGUUCUUUAAUAGCCCAAUCAGAGUAAAGGAAUGUGAAACAAAUUAUUCCAGCCUGGCUUAUUUGCUUAUUAUAUAGGGGUUGGGAAAAUGUCCUGCUUAGUGGUGACAUUUUAUUUUGUUUCUCUUCUUCUUGUCAUAGAUUCUUUUGGGACCUUUCCUGGGAAGAUUGGUGUCAGGUCAGAUUCAGGCAAUGCCGGUCACUGGUCCACCUAACAGUGUAUCUCUCCACCUAGUAUUACCACAUGGAGCAAAGAUUUUUUUUUUUUAAUGUAUAUCCUCACUAGCCUUCCUAUGAGUGAGGCAUUUACUAAAGCAAGCUGAUAAUCAUUAAUCUUUUUUUAAAAAUCAUAUUCUGGAAGAAUGGAAUUCUAUGUAUGAGAUCUUAUUAAACUAAAUUCAAAAUCCAAA